UAGGGAAUCUUCGGCAGUGGACGAAAGUCUGACCGAGCAACGCCGCGUGAGUGAAGAAGGUUUUCGGAUCGUAAAACUCUGUUGUUAGAGAAGAACAAGGAUGAGAGUAACUGUUCAUCCCUUGACGGUAUCUAACCAGAAAGCCACGGCUAACUACGUGCCAGCAGCCGCGGUAAUACGUAGGUGGCAAGCGUUGUCCGGAUUUAUUGGGCGUAAAGCGAGCGCAGGCGGUUUCUUAAGUCUGAUGUGAAAGCCCCCGGCUCAACCGGGGAGGGUUAUUGGAAACUGGGAGACUUGAGUGCAAAAGAGGAGAGUGGAAUUCCAUGUGUAGCGGUGAAAUGCGUAGAUAUAUGGAGGAACACCAGUGGCGAAGGCGGCUCUCUGGUCUGUAACUGACGCUGAGGCUCGAAAGCGUGGGGAGCAAACAG
rnacentral:rRNA from 1 species